rnacentral:lncRNA from 10 species
GUAAGUAAAUAUGUAAAGGAGGGGAGGCUGACACCGGAAGGGCGAGGAGAGUUCAGUGCUGGUGCCUGGGGCAGGCCUCCCUGUGGCCACAUUCCUGCUUCCUGCUGGGGGAGGCUAAGGGAGGGGCGCAAAGGUGCUGGUGGGCAGAGGGAAGGUGUCAAGGGGGUGGUGUGCCCCCUGCCAUCUGCAAUCGUGUACUUAAAGGGAGGAGGACUGGCUCCAGUCCUGUUUUCUGUCUGCAGCGUGAGAGAACUUGGUUGCCUGGGUAUCCGGAAGGCUGGGUGAGGGUCACAUGAGGGGCUCUCCGCAGCAGGGGGUCUGUUCAUAACUCUGGGCUCCAGCUGUGGAAUUCUGAGUGUCACACCUCACCUGGCUGAGUCUCCACUGCCUCCUAGGUGAGAGGGGCUCAAAGGUCCUUACUCUGUGGCCAGCUGCAAAACUGGCAUUCAAUCUCACUCAGGGCCAGAGGCAGGCAGGCUUUCUCCAUGGGUCUGCCAGGGCAGGCAGGGUGGGUGAGGCCCAGCUGACCCCAGAGACUGGGCCAGCUUUCUGGCCUCAAGCCAGCUCCUCUGACCCCAGGUUCCUGAAGGCCCUGCAGGAGUGCACCUCACCCCCAGGGCCCGCGCAGGACAAGCACAGCUGGAAGGAAGGAAGCCUGGGGUGGGGGUCUUUGCAGAGGGUGGGGCAGCCUCACUGCUGAGGUGCACUGGUUUCCCCAGGGAACAUCCUGCAGGGAGGCAUUUUUGCAGCAUGGCAGGGGGACUGCCUCAGGAGGCUCAGGCUCAGAGAGGUUGUGUGACUUGCCCAAGGUCACAUAGCCAGGAAGUGGCAGAGCCAGACCUGGGAGCCAGGUUAGGUGGCUUGACCUUUCCUCCACCCUUACUUCCUGCCUCCCACCUGGACCUCCAGGGCCAUCUCAGGUUUGCGGUGAAGCCUCAGGGACCUAUGCCACCUCCACUCCAUCAGGGACAGGUUGCCCUGGCCUACCCCCCUACCAACCUCCAGCCCUAAGUCCCCUCAGGGUACUCCCAGCUUCCCUGACCCCACCAAGCUCAGAGGUACCCCUGGGAGGGACUCUGACACCUCCUUCCUCCACACAGCCCACCAGUCACAGCCACCCCUCUGUACCAGCACAGGGCUGGCUGACCGGGUGGGCCUCAGGUCCUAGCCCUGCUCAGCCUGGGCCCCCAGGGCCAGCAAGGGGCCACUUUUCUCCCAAGGCCUGGGCUCCGUGGUGCAUUCCACCGGCUCACACUGCCUUGGCCUGCACAAGGAGGCCCUGCAUACAGGGGCGCAUUCCAACAAUUUGGGCUCUCACUGCUUGAGCAAACCCUGGUGUGCAUUUGGCCUCAGGGCCUGGAAGACGACAGUUCAAGAAACCACAGGACUCCAGCAAUGAGCUGCUCCCCUUGCUGUGUGUGUGUGUGUGUGUGUGUGUGUGUGUGUGUGUAGGGUGAGGGAUGGCAAGUAGGAAAGGAAUUCCAGGAAGAAUAAAGUGCAUGUGCAAAGGCCCUGGGGCAGGAGGAGCCUUGGCUGCUGGAGGAAGCAUAAGAAAGCUGAGGUGUCGGCUGGGCACAGUGGCUCAUGCCUGUAAUCCCAGCAGUUUGGGGGGCUGAGACGGGUAGAUCAGGAGUUCGUGACCAGCCUGGCCAACAUGGCAAAACCCCGUCUCUACUAAAAAUACAAAAAUUAACCAGGCGUGGUGGUACAUGCCUGUAGUCCCAGCUACCCGGGAGGCUGAGGCAGGAGAAUCACUUAAAUCCAGGAGGUGGAGGUUGCAGUAAGCUGAGAUUGUGCCACUGCACUCCAGUCUGGGUGACAGAGUGAGACUACGUCUUGAAAAAAAAAAAAGAGAGAAAAAAAAGAAAGCUGAGGUGUCUGGACCUGAGCCGGGAAAGGUGAGGACAGGAUAGGCCCUGCAGGGCCCUGGACCGUGUUAAGCAGUUUGGUUUUUAGCCUAAGAGCAAUGGCAUUUAUGACUAAGUGUGCAAUUUACAAAAACUCCUGUGGCUACGGGGUUGUUUUCCUGCUAAGCCCUGCCCUGCCAAGCAAGCAGAAAGGUCUCAGAGUGUGAAUCCACGAGCCAUGGACCGGGAGGGCCUCAGGCCAGACAACAAGUCCCUUUCCACCCAUCCACCUUGCGUUCUGAGAUGGCUGAGCUGUAUGUGUCGCCGUGGCUGGGCUGUGGGGCCCAGUUGUUUGGUCAUGCAUUAGUCUAGAUGCUGCUGUGAAAGUGUGCUGCAGAUGCGGCUCACACUGACAGUCAGCUGACUGCAAGAGAAGGAGAUCGCCCUCAAUAAUGCAGGAGCCUCAUGAAGUCUGUUGGCAGCCUGAAGAGUAAAUACUGAGGUUUCCCAGAGAAGAAACCCAGCCUGGAAUAUCAACUCCUGCCUGAGUCCCCGGCUUGCUGGCUUGCCCUUCACAUUGCAGAAUUGCCAGCCUGCACAAUUGUGUGGGCCAAGUUCUUAAAAUAAAUUUCUUAGUAUAUGGCUGUGGCUAUCUGUCUGUCUGUCUAUCUAUCUAUCUAUCCAUCCAUCCAUCCACCCACCUACCUACCCAUCCAUCCACUCAUCCAUCUAUCCAUCCAUUCACCUAUCCACCCAUGCAUUCAUCCACCCACCUGCCCACCUACCCAUCCACCCAUCCACCAAUCCAUCCACCCACCAAUCCAUCCACCCAUCCACCAAUCCAUCCACUCCUCCAUUCAUCCAUCCAUCCACCCAUCCACCCAUCCAUCCACCCAUCCAUCCACCAAUCCAUCCACCCACCC